rnacentral:rRNA from 1 species
AAAUUGAAGAGUUUGAUCAUGGCUCAGAUUGAACGCUGGCGGCAGGCCUAACACAUGCAAGUCGAACGGUAACAGGAAGCAGCUUGCUGCUUCGCUGACGAGUGGCGGACGGGUGAGUAAUGUCUGGGAAACUGCCUGGUGGAGGGGGAUAACUACUGGAAACGGUAGCUAAUACCGCAUAAUGUCGCAAGACCAAAGAGGGGGACCUUCGGGCCUCUUGCCAUCGGAUGUGCCCAGAUGGGAUUAGCUUGUUGGUGGGGUAACGGCUCACCAAGGCGACGAUCCCUAGCUGGUCUGAGAGGAUGACCAGCCACACUGGAACUGAGACACGGUCC